GACAGAGGCCUCAAGCGUUAGGCGGAAUCACUGGGCUUAAAGCGUGUGUAGGCGAACUUCUAAGUGCCUUGUGAAAUCCCACGGCUCAACCGUGGAACUGCUGGGCAUACUGGGAGUCUUGGGCCAUUCAGGGGCAACUGGAACAAGCGGUGGAGCGGUGAAAUGCGUAGAUAUCGCUUGGAACGCCGAAGGUGAAAACAGGUUGCUGGGGAUGUGCCGACGCUGAGACACGAAAGCCAGGGGAGCAAACGGG
rnacentral:rRNA from 1 species